UACGUAGGGUGCGAGCGUUAAUCGGAAUUACUGGGCGUAAAGCGUGCGCAGGCGGUUGUGCAAGACAGAUGUGAAAUCCCCGGGCUUAACCUGGGAACUGCAUUUGUGACUGCACGGCUAGAGUGUGUCAGAGGGGGGUAGAAUUCCGCGUGUAGCAGUGAAAUGCGUAGAGAUGCGGAGGAACACCGAUGGCGAAGGCAGCCCCCUGGGCCAACACUGACGCUCAGGCACGAAAGCGUGGGGAGCAAACAGG
rnacentral:rRNA from 1 species